UUCGUGUUCGAGAUAUGUUUGCACUGCA
rnacentral:sRNA from 1 species